UACGAAGGGGGCUAGCGUUGUUCGGAAUUACUGGGCGUAAAGGGCGCGUAGGCGGUCCUUCAAGUCAGGCGUGAAAGCCCCGGGCUCAACCUGGGAACCGCGCUCGAGACUGGCGGGCUAGAGUUCGGGAGAGGAUGGUGGAAUUCCCAGUGUAGCGGUGAAAUGCGUAGAUAUCGGGAGGAACACCAGUGGCGAAGGCGGCGAUCUGGGAAGAUACUGACGCUGAGGUGCGAAAGCGUGGGGAGCAAACAGG
rnacentral:rRNA from 1 species